GCCAGGUGUGGUGGGGCAUACCUGUAGUCCCAGCUUCUCAGGAGGCUGAGGCAGGAGAGUUGCUUGAUCCCAGGAGUUUGAGACUGCAGUGAGCUAUGAUUACACCACUGCACUCCAGCCUGGGCAACAGAGUGAGACCCUGUCUCUA
ensembl:misc_RNA Metazoa_SRP Metazoan signal recognition particle RNA